GAUGAACGCUGGCGGCGUGCCUAAUACAUGCAAGUCGAGCGAACGGACGAGAAGCUUGCUUCUCUGAUGUUAGCGGCGGACGGGUGAGUAACACGUGGAUAACCUACCUAUAAGACUGGGAUAACUUCGGGAAACCGGAACUAAUACCGGAUAAUAUUUUGAACCGCAUGGUUCAAAAGUGAAAGACGGUCUUGCUGUCACUUAUAGAUGGAUCCGCGCUGCAUUAGCUAGUUGGUAAGGUAACGGCUUACCAAGGCAACGAUGCAUAGCCGACCUGAGAGGGUGAUCGGCCACACAGGAACUGAGACACGGUCCAGACUCCUACGGGAGGCAGCAGUAGGGAAUCUUCCGCAAUGGGCGAAAGCCUGACGGAGCAACGCCGCGUGAGUGAUGAAGGUCUUCGGAUCGUAAAACUCUGUUAUUAGGGAAGAACAUAUGUGUAAGUAACUGUGCACAUCUUGACGGUACCUAAUCAGAAAGCCACGGCUAACUACGUG
rnacentral:rRNA from 1 species